GCCAGGUGUGGUGACCCAUACCUGUAAUCCCAGCGGCUGAGGAGGCUGAGAAAGGAGGAUCGUGAGUUCAAAGCCAGCCUCAGCAAUGGCAAGGCACUAAGCAACUCAGUGAGACCCUGUCUCUA
rnacentral:sRNA from 1 species